AAGUAACCUAAGAUAAGGUGCUAAACUUUUAAUUUAGUCAUGAUACACAUAUCCUU
rnacentral:tRNA from 1 species